rnacentral:rRNA from 1 species
UCGAACGAUGAAGCCCUUCGGGGUGGAUUAGUGGCGAACGGGUGAGUAACACGUGGGCAAUCUGCCCUUCACUCUGGGACAAGCCCUGGAAACGGGGUCUAAUACCGGAUACCACUCCUGCCUGCAUGGGCGGGGGUUGAAAGCUCCGGCGGUGAAGGAUGAGCCCGCGGCCUAUCAGCUUGUUGGUGGGGUAAUGGCCCACCAAGGCGACGACGGGUAGCCGGCCUGAGAGGGCGACCGGCCACACUGGGACUGAGACACGGCCCAGACUCCUACGGGAGGCAGCAGUGGGGAAUAUUGCACAAUGGGCGAAAGCCUGAUGCAGCGACGCCGCGUGAGGGAUGACGGCCUUCGGGUUGUAAACCUCUUUCAGCAGGGAAGAAGCGAAAGUGACGGUACCUGCAGAAGAAGCGCCGGCUAACUACGUGCCAGCAGCCGCGGUAAUACGUAGGGCGCAAGCGUUGUCCGGAAUUAUUGGGCGUAAAAGAGCUCGUAGGCGGCUUGUCACGUCGGAUGUGAAAGCCCGAGGCUUAACCUCGGGUCUGCAUUCGAUACGGGCUAGCUAGAGUGUGGUAGGGGGAGAUCGGAAUUCCUGGUGUAGCGGUGAAAUGCGCAGAUAUCAGGAGGAACACCGGUGGCGAAGGCGGAUCUCUGGGCCAUUACUGACGCUGAGGAGCGAAAGCGUGGGGGAGCGAAA